GUUUUCUUGAUAGAUUAUAAGAAAUUUAACCUGCCCACUGAAUUUGAAUUUAAAGGGCCGCAGUAUUUUGACUGUGCAAAGGUAGCAUAAUCAUUAGUCUUUUAAUUAAGGGCUGGUAUGAAUGGUUGGACGAGGUAAAUUCUAUAUUAUAUUAAUAUAUAGAACUUAGAUUUUAAGUAAAAAUACUUAAAUAUUAUUAAGGGACGAGAAGACCCUAUAGAUUUUAAUAUUUUAAUUUUUAAUUAAGUUAAUUAAAAAUUAUUAAUUAUUAUGAUAUUUAUUUGAUUGGGGUGAUUAAAAGAUAAGGAUAACUCUUUUUUAUAUUAAAUUAUUUAAUUAGAUUUUUGAUCCAUUUUUUAUGAUUAUAAGAUUAAAUUACCUUAGGGAUAACAGCAUAAUUUUCCUUAAGAGUUCUAAUUGAAAGGAAAGAUUGUGACCUCGAUGUUGGAUUAAGAUAAAUUUUAGGUGUAGAUGUUUAAAAAUUAGGUCUGUUCGACCUUUAAAAUCUUACA
rnacentral:rRNA from 1 species